GGUAGACACCGGGAUUGCCUCAGUAACGGCGAGUGAAGCGGCAAAAGCUCAAAUUUGAAAUCUCCGUAAGGCGAGUUGUAAUUUGAAGAGGCAACUUUGGACUGGAACCUUGUCUAUGUUCCUUGGAACAGGACGUCACAGAGGGUGAGAAUCCCGUGCGAUGAGGAGCGCCAGUCCGUGUAAAGUGCUCUCGACGAGUCGAGUUGUUUGGGAAUGCAGCUCUAAGUGGGUGGUAAAUUCCAUCUAAAGCUAAAUAUUGGCGAGAGACCGAUAGCGAAACAAGUACAGUGAUGGAAAGAUGAAAAGCACUUUGAAAAGAGAGUGAAAAAGUACGUGAAAUUGUUGAAAGGGAAGGGCUUGAGAUCAGACUUGGUGACUCGUCACUGGGCCAGCAUCGGUUUGGGUGGUAGGAGAAUACCGUAGGAAUGUGGCUCUUUCGAGAGUGUUAUAGCCUGCGGAGAUGCUACCUACCUAGACCGAGGACUGCGCAACUAGAUGCUGCCUAC
rnacentral:rRNA from 1 species